CAGCAGCCGCGGUAAUACGAAGGGUGCAAGCGUUAAUCGGAAUUACUGGGCGUAAAGCGUGCGUAGGCGGUUUGUUAAGUCUGUUGUGAAAUCCCCGGGCUCAACCUGGGAAUGGCAAUGGAUACUGGCAAGCUAGAGUGUGUCAGAGGAUGGUGGAAUUCCCGGUGUAGCGGUGAAAUGCGUAGAGAUCGGGAGGAACAUCAGUGGCGAAGGCGGCCAUCUGGGACAACACUGACGCUGAGGCACGAAAGCGUGGGGAGCAAACAGGAUUAGAGACCCCUGUAGUCCCUGUCUCUUAUAU
rnacentral:rRNA from 1 species